ensembl:lncRNA
GGGUGAACCAUAACCCAAUGGGGUGAGCCGUAAGGCAAUGGGGUGAGCCAUAACCCAAUGGGGUGAGCCGUAAGGCAAUGGGGUGAGCCGUAAGGCAAUGGGGUGAGCCAUAACCCAAUGGGGUGAGCCGUAAGGCAAUGGGGUGAACCAUAACCCAAUGGGGUGAGGCAUAACCCAAUGGGGUGAGGCAUAAUCCAAUGGGGUGAGCUGUAAGGCAAUGGGGUGAGGCGUAAGGCAAUGGGGUGAACUGUAACCCAAUGGGGUGAGCCGUAAGGCAAUGGGGUGAGCCGUAAGGCAAUGGGGUGACCCAUAACCCAAUGGGGUGAGGCAUAACCCAAUGGGGUGAGCCGUAAGGCAAUGGGGUGAGCCAGAACCCAAUGGGGUGAGCCGUAAGGCAAUGGGGUGACCCGUAAGAAAAUGGGGUGAGCCAUAAGGCAAUGGGGUGAGGCAUAACCCAAUGGGGUGAGCCGUAAGGCAAUGGGGUGAGGCAUAACCCAAUGGGGUGAGCCAUAAGGCAAUGGGGUGAUCUAUAACCCAAUGGGGUGAGGCAUAACCCAAUGGGGUGAGCCGUAAGGCAAUGGGGUGAGGCAUAACCCAAUGGGGUGACCCAUAACCCAAUGGGGUGAGCCGUAAGGCAAUGGGGUGAACCGUAACCCAAUGGGGUGAGCCAUAACCCAAUGGGGUGACCCAUAACCCAAUGGGGUGAGGCAUAACCCAAUGGGGUGAGCCGUAAGGCAAUGGGGUGACCCAUAACCCAAGGGGGUGAGGCAUAACCCAAAGGGGUGACUCAUAACACAAUGGGGUGAGCUGUAAGGCAAUGGGGUGAAUCGUAACCCAAUGGGGUGAACCAUAACCCAUUGGGGUGACCCAUAGUAAGGAAAUGGGAUGAACCGUAAGGCAAUGGGGUGAACCAUAAGGCAAUGCGGUGACCCAUAACCCAAUGGGGUGACCCAUAACCAAUAGGGUGACUCAUAACCCAACGGGGUGACCCAUAACUCAAUGAGAUGACGCUAACCCAUAACCCAAUGGGGUGACCCAUAACCAAUGGGGUGACGCUGACCCAUAACACCAUAUAGAAACCCCAUAGGGACCCACAGGGACCUAUAGAGCCCCCCUGAGGACCCAUAGGGACCUACAGAAUCACCACAGGGACCCAUAGGGACCCAUAGAGACCCAUAGAGACCCAUAGGGACCCAUAGAGACCCAUAGGGACCCAUAGGGACCCAUAGAGGCCAAUAGAGACCCAUAAGGACCCAUAGAGACCAAUAGGGACCCAUAGGGACCAUAGAGACCCAUAGAGACCCAUAGGGACCCAUAGAGACCAAUAGGGACCCAUAGAGACCCAUAGAGACCCAUAGGGACCCAUAGAGACCCAUAGAGACCAAUAGGGACCCAUAGAGACCCAUAGAGACCAAUAGAGACCAAUAGGGACCCAUAGAGACCCAUAGGGACCCAUUGGGACCUGCGCAGCUCCCGCAGGGACCCCCAUACAACUGUAGGAACCCAUAAAACCCCCAUAGGAACGCGUGUAGCCCUAUGGGGCCCUACAGAACCCCCGGAAGGCCCCAUACGGCCCUACAGAACCUCCAUAACAACCCAUAGGGACCCACAGACCCCCAAAUAGAGCCCCAUAAGCAUUCCCCUAUAGGAACCUCCCUGAGACCCCAUAACACCCCCCAUAGCAACGCAUAGGAGCCCAUAGAACCCCCAUAACAACCUAUAGCAAGCCACAAACCCCCCAGAAAGCCCCGCAAGCGUUCCCCCAUAGGAAC